ACAGUGAAACUGCGAAUGGCUCAUUAAAUCAGUUAUCGUUUAUUUGAUAGUUACCUUACUACUUGGAUAACCGUGGUAAUUCUAGAGCUAAUACAUGCAUAAAAACCCCAACUUCGGAAGCGGCGUCAUUUAUUAGAUAAAAAACCAACGCCCGUCAAGGGCUCUUUUGGUGAUUCAUAAUAACUAAACGGAUCGCAUGGCCUUGCGCCGGCGACGGUUCAUUCAAAUUUCUGCCCUAUCAACUUUCGAUGGUAAGGUAUUGGCUUACCAUGGUUUCAACGGGUAACGGGGAAUUAGGGUUCGAUUCCGGAGAGGGAGCCUGAGAAACGGCUACCACAUCCAAGGAAGGCAGCAGGCGCGCAAAUUACCCAAUCCCGACACGGGGAGGUAGUGACAAUAAAUACUGAUACAGGGCUCUUACGGGUCUUGUAAUCGGAAUGAGUACAAUUUAAACCCCUUAACGAGGAACAAUUGGAGGGCAAGUCUGGUGCCAGCAGCCGCGGUAAUUCCAGCUCCAAUAGCGUAUAUUAAAGUUGUUGCAGUUAAAAAGCUCGUAGUUGAACCUUGGGCCUGGCUGGCCGGUCCGCCUCACCGCGUGUACUGGUCCGGCCGGGCCUUUCCUUCUGGAGAACCGCAUGCCCUUCACUGGGCGUGUUGGGGAACCAGGACUUUUACUUUGAAAAAAUUAGAGUGUUCAAAGCAGGCCUUUGCUCGAAUACGUUAGCAUGGAAUAAUAGAAUAGGACGUCGCGGUCCUAUUUUGUUGGUUUCUAGGACCGCCGUAAUGAUUAAUAGGGAUAGUCGGGGGCAUCAGUAUUCAAUUGUCAGAGGUGAAAUUCUUGGAUUUAUUGAAGACUAACUACUGCGAAAGCAUUUGCCAAGGAUGUUUUCAUUAAUCAGUGAACGAAAGUUAGGGGAUCGAAGACGAUCAGAUACCGUCGUAGUCUUAACCGUAAACUAUGCCGACUAGGGAUCGGGCGAUGUUUCUAUCUUGACUCGCUCGGCACCUUACGAGAAAUCAAAGUUUUUGGGUUCUGGGGGGAGUAUGGUCGCAAGGCUGAAACUUAAAGAAAUUGACGGAAGGGCACCACCAGGCGUGGAGCCUGCGGCUUAAUUUGACUCAACACGGGGAAACUCACCAGGUCCAGAUGAAAUAAGGAUUGACAGAUUGAGAGCUCUUUCUUGAUUUUUCAGGUGGUGGUGCAUGGCCGUUCUUAGUUGGUGGAGUGAUUUGUCUGCUUAAUUGCGAUAACGAACGAGACCUUAACCUGCUAAAUAGCCAGGCUAGCUUUGGCUGGUCGCCGGCUUCUUAGAGGGACUAUCGGCUCAAGCCGAUGGAAGUUCGAGGCAAUAACAGGUUAACCUACACAGGCCUGUAACAGUGGGCCUCGUUAAAGAUAACUGCUAGUCCAGCAUCUUAACCUUCUCGGGGAAGUCCCCAACUGUCGGGAGAAGGAAAGUGAAAGCUCACUUUUGAUGCGGGCAACACCACCUGGUACAGGGGACGCCGGAUCGAUUUCAAUAUCGGUUGGCCAAUCCUGUGGCGAGCUGGAGUAACGUCCAGCCGUCGCAACGUGCGGAAAGGGGUGGGCUACUGGGAACAGUAGCUUAAGGUACGUACUAAUCCCUUGGGUAACCAAGCACCUUCACUGAGGCCCGACAGGCUAAGGUGCUGGUGGGCACUGGAAGUAAUUCUCUGGUGCUGGUGUGUGUGAGUUUACUGUAGUCGAUUAUCAAAUCGACUAUCAGGAAACCGCACUCUAAAUGCUGUGAUGCCCUUAGAUGUUCUGGGCCGCACGCGCGCUACACUGACAGAGCCAACGAGUUCACCACCUUGGCCGGAAGGUCUGGGUAAUCUUGUUAAACUCUGUCGUGCUGGGGAUAGAGCUUUGCAAUUAUUGCUCUUCAACGAGGAAUGCCUAGUAAGCGCGUGUCAUCAGCACGCGUUGAUUACGUCCCUGCC
rnacentral:rRNA from 1 species